AUUGAACGCUGGCGGCAUGCUUUACACAUGCAAGUCGAACGGCAGCGCGGGCUUCGGCCUGGCGGCGAGUGGCGAACGGGUGAGUAAUGCAUCGAAACGUGCCCAGUAGUGGGGGAUAGCCCGGCGAAAGCCGGAUUAAUACCGCAUACGACCUGAGGGUGAAAGCGGGGGACCGAAAGGCCUCGCGCUAUUGGAGCGGCCGAUGUCGGAUUAGCUAGUUGGUGGGGUAAAGGCUUACCAAGGCGACGAUCCGUAGCUGGUCUGAGAGGACGACCAGCCACACUGGGACUGAGACACGGCCCAGACUCCUACGGGAGGCAGCAGUGGGGAAUUUUGGACAAUGGGGGCAACCCUGAUCCAGCCAUGCCGCGUGCGGGAAGAAGGCCUUCGGGUUGUAAACCGCUUUUGUUCGGGAAGAAAUCCUCUGGGCUAAUACCCCGGGGGGAUGACGGUACCGGAAGAAUAAGCACCGGCUAACUACGUG
rnacentral:rRNA from 1 species